AUUGAACGCUGGCGGCAGGCUUAACACAUGCAAGUCGAGCGAGCGGCGGACGGGUGAGUAAUGUCUGGGAAACUGCCUGAUGGAGGGGGAUAACUACUGGAAACGGUAGCUAAUACCGCAUACCAUCAGAUGUGCCCAGAUGGGAUUAGCUAGUAGGUGGGGUAAUGGCUCACCUAGGCGACGAUCCCUAGCUGGUCUGAGAGGAUGACCGGCAACACUGGAGCUGUGGCACGGGGCAGACUCCUACGGGAGGAAGCAGUGGGGAAUAUUGCACGAUGGGCGCAAGCCGGAUGCAGCCAUGCCGCGUGUGUGAAGAAGGCGUUCGGGUUGUAAAGGACUUUCAGCGAGGAGGCGUUACUCGCAGAAGAGGCACCGGCUAGCGCCGUGCCAGCGGCCGCGGUAAUAC
rnacentral:rRNA from 1 species